UACGUAGGGCGCGAGCGUUGUCCGGAAUUAUUGGGCGUAAAGGGCUCGUAGGCGGUUUGUCGCGUCGGGAGUGAAAACCUUGGGCUUAACUCAGGGCUUGCUUUCGAUACGGGCAGACUAGAGGUAUGCAGGGGAGAACGGAAUUCCUGGUGUAGCGGUGAAAUGCGCAGAUAUCAGGAGGAACACCGGUGGCGAAGGCGGUUCUCUGGGCCGAUACUGACGCUGAGGAGCGAAAGCGUGGGGAGCAAACAGG
rnacentral:rRNA from 1 species